ACUUCCGUGGUGUAGUGGCCAAUCAUCGGAGCCUUUGAAGCUCCGGACCGAGGUUCGAAUCCUCGCGGAAGUA
rnacentral:tRNA from 1 species